GCAUGCGUGGUGUGAUGGUUUGAAUAUUGGACUGGAACUCUGAAGACCAGGGUUCGAUUCCCAGCUUGGCCA